ACAAUAUAUAUGGAAACACUCACUAACUUGUCUGCAAAACUGCAUGGUUCUCUUCUUGGCGUGACAAUAUUCAAUUUGCAUCAUCAGGGACCACUCCUUACAUUUUCCAUAUAUAAAUUUUGUUUUUAUUUAUUUUUUCCCUGUAGCCUGCUUUCUCAAUCUUCACAGUCCUCCUAUAUUCCAUCAACAACAAAAAAUAAAAAUCAAAUUAAUGAUAAAAUAAUCCUGAUAAUUCAUAACUCCCCUUCAAUCCCCUCCUCAUCCUUCUAUUUAUACCUCCUUUAUCCUCUCUCACCCUCUUCAUACCCUCUCAUCUCCUGCUGCUCUUAAAGUACUAGCUAUAACAUAUGCUAGCUAGCUCUUCUGAGAUGACUGUGCAUCUUCUUAUCGUGCACCUCUAUCAGUUGAAGCUGCCAGCAUGAUCUUAGCCUUCCUCCUUUGUUGAGGAAAGAAACAGAUCAUGUGGCAGUUUCACCUGUUGGUGGUAUCACGAGAAACCCUAAUUCCAAAUAAAACCUAAUCAAUUUCCUUUCUUAAUUACAUGGCUAGCUAGCUAAUAUUAGGGUUCUCCUUGUCCAGUCCCUAGAAAGGUAAGUGAUCUUCUUUAUAGAGUAUAUCAUUUAGUCUCAUCUGGGUUUCUUGGGUUUUGCUUCUUACUGUCGUGUUUGCAUUAAAAUUUUGCCUCUUUUUUUUGCCCGUGUGUUUAGUGUAUUGAUUGUUGUGUUUCUGCUCUUUUAUUAUGUGAAACUUAUGAGGAAAAUUUUCAGUGCGAAGGUUUGUUAGGGUUUUGGGUAACAGGAUUUUUGCGUCUCGGUACAGUUUGACGGUUUCAAGAUCCGUCCUGAUGCUUUGGUGAUUGAGCCCUGAGGUUCCUAUAAUUAGCCUGCCGUACGGAUCUUGUUAAUUAAUUUGGUUCUCAUGAUGUUGGUUAAUUUAUCCAGUCUUCUCACUUGGUGAGUUGGAUCUUGGUCAUUUUACUGCACAAACACAAGUUACACACCCACAAACCACCCAGAGUUUUUCUGGGAAGCAAUUGAGAUCUUAAGACGUCAUCAUCUGAGAUUGGUCAAGAAGAGAGCACUCGGUAUUUUUUAUGUGCGUGUGAUUUUGCAAUUUUGAGUCGUGUAAGAUUUUAUGAAAUUAAACAGUAAGAUUGAGAGACUGCUUGAAAUUUGGAGAAUAUAUCUGGUACAGAAAUAGAAUAGUAAGCUUGUCCUAUUUGAAAAAGUUCUUUCUUUAACAUUUUAUAGAUCAUCUCGUGGAUCUCUUAUCUCUUGUAGCUUAAAGAUUCACGAUGAUGAAAGCAUGGGUUUUUUUUCAUACAUAUUCUUUGAAGUUCCUUAUCUCUUCUGAUCACUUCCGUGUAUAUCUCUUCCAAGUUUGAUGAUGAAGAAAACAAUGGUAACGAUGACACUGAGAGGGAUUAUUAAAGAUGACAACCUCUUAGUCUUUAGUUUGAAUAGCUAGGAGAUAUCUUGUCUUAGGUACUAAAAGAGGGUUUGGGGAUCCAGUUGUAAAUUAUCAACAUGAAACGAAAUAAAUAACCUUAAGAAAUUCACCAAGUAUUUCCCUAGUUUCUUAAUUACAUAUGAAAAGCAAAUAGCAGAACAUUUGAGUUGCUGUAACCUUGGGGCCUCUAAAUUCCUUUUUGAUUGUUUAAUUGAUAUUAAUUUGGAUGCGUUUUAGAGAAGGCUGCGAGCUACAGCAUUAUUAGGACAAUGGUCUGGUUAGCACCAGCCCCAGCUCUGAGACUUAGACUCUAUAUUUGCAGACCACAACAAUACAGAUCGUGUGGACUGGCUAAAUUGAGCAUUAAUGGGGAGUGAACCACGGGACAAUUUAUGUUGCGAUUGAGAGAACCGCAACCCCAAACAGUACUGCUAUAAGAUUUUACAUCCUAUUUUUUUCCUUUGUCAGCUCGCAUGCAGAAUAUUGCAAGAACAUUUGAAUCUUGAUAGAGAAAUCUGUCAAUGGAGCCCAGAUGUAGAAAUGUAACAUUUUGAAUUUUGAGAACUCACAUUUCUACGCUCCAUUGACAUAAUUUUGGUAUGUGAUUCGUGCUUGUGUUUCAUUUUUGUCUCAAUAAAAUGUACUCUCUCGUCGUGUUAUCAAAAAUAUUUAAACGUUGGCUUGCAUGUGAACCCCUAAUUAAACUCAUUCCAGUCCUUAUACUCCAUGUGCACACAAGAGUACAAAUUAAACAUUAUAGAUGUACAUAUAUAUAUAUAUAUAUAUAUGAAGGUUGAUGGUUCCCAUCUAGCUAUCUCUAUCUUCCCUAUUAAAUGCACCUCUCUUUUAUCUAGACAUAUGUGCUCGCUUGCUGGCAUUUUUUUUCAAGUACACAACAAACACACACACUGGAGAUGUUUAUGCUUAGAUACUUGAAGUCUAUAGCUCUCUCUUGAUUGUUCAAGUUUGGCCCCUCUCUUUUGGUAGUAAGAUCUAUAUGGACAAGAUUCGAUAUUGCUUUCCUUUUUCCAGAGGACUCCAGAGUGCCCAAAUAAGUAAAAACGUCAUUAAUUAAUUUGAUUUCCCCAACCAUUACCAGAGCUUGCAAUUGUCAUUUUCAUCGAGGACAUUGGGUGGAGGAUCCACUGAUGAUAAGGCCUUGUUACAUGCCAUUUUAAGGAUGCUCUUGGGAGACCAUGAUGCUGUCUAGACAACGACAAUACAACUGACUUUGUUUUCUUAAAGGGACCCGGGAAUGGUUCGCGUUUAAUUGGUGAAAGAGAGAGAUCAGUUGAAAAGGUUAGCAGCGUAUGUGCCUGUGAUGAGGUAGUGUGUUUAAAUGGGAAUUAAUGCAUAUACUCAAUGCGGAGAUAGCAUUGAGUAUAUGUAUCCUGGUACUGCAAAAUUCACAUGCGGAGAUAGCAUCUUCGAUAUCUUUAAUAGGGGAAUUAAUGCAUAUACUCAAUGCGAGUUAGUGCUUCUUACUUCCUUAAUAUGAUGUGCCUUGCAUUUUUUUUAGUUGUUACAGUCUUCCUAGCUAGCAUCACUUGAAUUCUAGGAUAUGCUUAGCUUUCGAACGUUUGCUUAAUGUAAUUUGAUCAGCUCCAUUUUUAAGUCUUUAUUUUA